UUUGAAAUACUGGUAGGGUUUUGGUAUAAAUGAGAUAUUCUGGUUCUCACAAUCUGAUUCUUGUCAGCUUGAAGAGAUGGAUUUCCUUAGUGUUCUUCAAAUGAUUCCUUCAUGUUUUCAACUAGCAAUGACAUAACAUUGGUCUGUUGGGCUCCACUGUGGAUGGACCAUUUCAUAAUAUCUCCCAAGAACUCCGUAGCAGCCAUGAGAUGAAACAUGAACUUCAUUCUUAGUUGAGAUCCAAGAGAAUUAUCUGAGGCCUGAUAUCAAGAGAGGAAAAUUCUCUAGUGAAGAAGAGUGGAUCAUUGU